CCUGCCCCAAGAUUGUAGGUAUGGCUGCUGUGUUGCAUGUGUGUCUGUAAGGGGCAGAGAAAAGAGAAGCUAUAUCUACACUCAGUGUUAUGACCUAUGGACAUCUGAAUGAUUAGUAGUUUAACAUU
ensembl:snoRNA LOC120098692 small nucleolar RNA SNORA17